UACGAAGGGGGCUAGCGUUGCUCGGAAUCACUGGGCGUAAAGCGCACGUAGGCGGAUCUUUAAGUCAGGGGUGAAAUCCCGGAGCUCAACUCCGGAACUGCCUUUGAUACUGAGGAUCUUGAGUCCGGGAGAGGUGAGUGGAACUGCGAGUGUAGAGGUGAAAUUCGUAGAUAUUCGCAAGAACACCAGUGGCGAAGGCGGCUCACUGGCCCGGUACUGACGCUGAGGUGCGAAAGCGUGGGGAGCAAACAGG
rnacentral:rRNA from 1 species